rnacentral:rRNA from 1 species
UCAAACCUGAGAGUUUGAUCCUGGCUCAGAACGAACGCUGGCGGCAGGCUUAACACAUGCAAGUCGAA